AGAUUGAACGCUGGCGGCAGGCCUAACACAUGCAAGUCGAGCGGCAGCACGGGUACUUGUACCUGGUGGCGAGCGGCGGACGGGUGAGUAAUGCCUAGGAAUCUGCCUGGUAGUGGGGGAUAACGCUCGGAAACGGACGCUAAUACCGCAUACGUCCUACGGGAGAAAGCAGGGGACCUUCGGGCCUUGCGCUAUCAGAUGAGCCUAGGUCGGAUUAGCUAGUUGGUGAGGUAAUGGCUCACCAAGGUCGACGAUCCGUAACUGGUCUGAGAGGAUCGAUCAGUCACAUUGGAACUGA
rnacentral:rRNA from 1 species